GUGUGCACCUGUAACCCAUAAGACCCUUUCAGCUCAUGUAGUGGUGUGCACCUGUAACCCAUAAGACCCUUUCAGCUCAUGUAGUGGUGUGCACCUGUAACCCUUCAGAGCUUACACUUCAGACCCCAAGUCCUGCCUGGACUGCACGGUGAGAUGCUGUCCCCUCCCCUGCCACCCUGGGAAGCAUAGUUCCGACAAAGAGCUUUGGCUAACUUCUAAAUGUGGGAUACCAGAAGGGAUCAGCUGAAAGCCACUGGAUUUGAUGGAAGUCUGAAGAAGAGCCUCAUGGCUAUUGUUACAGGCACUGGUUUCAUCAGAGAGACCGGCAAACAACUGCGGACCUGCGUAUCCCCUGGGACAGAUGGCCUUCAUGAAGAUGUCUGUACCUGCUGGGGUAAUACCUGUCACCAUGAGUGUGGGGGGGCUUCCUGGAAGAGAUGGACUGAGAUGUGAGCUGAUUGCAGGGCUGGGAGUGUAGCCUGGUGGGUAGAGACCUUGCCAAGCAUGCACAAAGCCCUGGAUUCCAUCCUUAGCACCACGGAAGCCAGCAUGUGGUGCAAGCCUGGACCUCAGGAUGUGGAAAGUGGAGGCUGAAGGAUAAGGAGUUCAAAGUCAUCCUUGGCUACACAGCAAGUCUGAAGUUAACUCGAGCUAUAUUAGACCCCGUUUCAAA